UUCGCUGCUGGGAAAACUGAGAGCGAGAUAAGGGGAAUCGAUUCGAAAGAGACAGGCUACUUCUCGGAACAUUUGUUCCCAGUCCCGCCCCCAGCCUGGCACAGGGCAGGAGCCACCAGCCAAUGGGAGGGCCCUCGCCAGGCCCAGGCCAAGCCCCUCUCGGCCCCUGGGCGGCCCCUCCCCACCCCGCCCAGGGCCCCGCUGCCCGCUGUCCUGCCUGUUCUGGGCACAGCACAGGGGUUAAGGAACAGCCCACUUCAAAGGGUGGGGCUCCCGGCUGCCACCCCAGCCCCACCCCCAGUCCCACAGCCGCCGCAGGCCUGGCAUUGGCCUCUGCCCAGCACCUUCUCCAGACCGGUCCACCUCCAGGCCAGUGCUGCCCAGCGGGCUCUCAUCUCCGGCUGCAAGGGCACCCGGGUCUCCGCGACAGGGGAUCUCCCACGCCAGUUCCUUCUCCCUACUUUGCUUCUCUGGAGGAAAAUCAACCAUCACCCAUCUUCCGCGGACAGGCCAGUGAGUGAAUCCGUAGGGGCCCCUGCUCCCGCCCACGCCAGACGGUGCCUGCGAUGAAAGCAUCUGGACCUGGGGGUGCCCUACCCCCACCUGGAGCCGUGGCUGCAGACCACCUGGGAGCCACGCAGAUGCUGUGGCCUGCAUGCUUGUGGCCCCCAAAUUUGUAUGUUGAGACCUAACCCCAAUUAGGGAGGUGGGGCCUUUGGGAGGUGAUUGGGUCACCAGGGUGGAGCCCUGGUGAAUGGGAUCAGUGCCCUCAUAAAAGAGACGGCACAGAGCUGUGUCCCACUGCGUGAGGACACAGAACCUGGAUGUGGGCCCUCACUAGAACCCAAGCAUGCUGCCACCCUGAUCUCAGACUUCCAGCCUCCAGGACUGCGAGAGACAAAUUUCUGCUGUUUAUAGCCACCAUCUAUGGUACUGAUAUUUUGUUACAGCGGCCCAAACGGACUAAGACACCAGGGUCUCUUUCCCUGCCAGCAGGCGUCAGCUCUCAGGCCAGGCUGAAAAGAAACAGGGUAACUGAGGCCCGUGGAGGGUGUUUCCAGGGCUCAGGGCCCAGGUCGGCCCACAGGUGAGGUGCAGAAGGCCGGGCCCAGGGUGGGAGGGCAGCAGAGCUCCAGGGGGGUCCUGCUUCUCGGCAUCCCCCGGCACCCUGAUGCGGUAUGUGAGGGGCGGUCAGGAGCACUUCCCUGGAGCCCGCAGCCUCGACGUGGCAGACAGAGCCCAGAGCACGGCCCCGGGCUCCAGUGGGCACGUGGCAGGAGCUUCCUGUGCUCCCAGGCCCCUCCCCCACACACGGUCACACGGCCACACGUGGCCCCCCGAGCUCCUGGAACGCGGCCAAAAGGAGCCGUACUCUGCGUGCAAAGGCCCAGCCUGAAGAGAAGAAUGUGCGGAAACGUGCUAAUAAUUUACAUACGAUUCCACGGCGAAAUGUAAUAUUUUAGAUAUGCUGGGUUGAAAUGAAAUAUAUUUUUACGAUUAA